AUUGAACGCUGGCGGAAUGCUUUACACAUGCAAGUCGAACGGUAGAGGGGGCAACCCCUCGAGAGUGGCGAACGGGUGAGUAAUAUAUCGGAACGUGCCCAGUCGUGGGGGAUAACGUAGCGAAAGUUACGCUAAUACCGCAUACGAUCUACGGAUGAAAGCGGGGGAUCGCAAGACCUCGCGCGAUUGGAGCGGCCGAUAUCAGAUUAGGUAGUUGGUGGGGUAAAGGCUCACCAAGCCAACGAUCUGUAGCUGGUCUGAGAGGACGACCAGCCACACUGGAACUGAGACACGGUCCAGACUCCUACGGGAGGCAGCAGUGGGGAAUUUUGGACAAUGGACGCAAGUCUGAUCCAGCCAUUCCGCGUGCAGGAUGAAGGCCCUCGGGUUGUAAACUGCUUUUGUACGGACGAAAAGGUUUCUAUUAAUACUAGGAGCUCAUGACGGUACCGUAAGAAUAAGCACCGGCUAACUACGUG
rnacentral:rRNA from 1 species